rnacentral:rRNA from 1 species
CCUACGGGUGGCAGCAGUGAGGAAUAUUGGUCAAUGGACGAGAGUCUGAACCAGCCAAGUCGCGUGAAGGAUGACUGCCCUAUGGGUUGUAAACUUCUUUUAUAUGGGAAUAAAGUGUUCCACGUGUGGCGUUUUGUAUGUACCAUAUGAAUAAGGAUCGGCUAACUCCGUGCCAGCAGCCGCGGUAAUACGGAGGAUCCGAGCGUUAUCCGGAUUUAUUGGGUUUAAAGGGUGCGUAGGUGGACUUGUAAGUCAGUGGUGAAAGUCUGUGGCUCAACCGUAAAAUUGCAGUUGAAACUGGCAGUCUUGAGUACGGUAGAGGGAGGCGGAAUGCGUGGUGUAGCGGUGAAAUGCUUAGAUAUCACGCAGAACUCCGAUUGAGAAGGCAGCUUACCGGGCUGCGACUGACGCUGAGGCACGAAAGUGUGGGGAUCAAACAGGAUUAGAUACCCGGGUAGUC